AGUGAACGCUGGCGGUAGGCCUAACACAUGCAAGUCGAACGGCAGCACAGUAAGAGCUUGCUCUUACGGGUGGCGAGUGGCGGACGGGUGAGGAAUACAUCGGAAUCUACUUUUUCGUGGGGGAUAACGUAGGGAGACUUACGCUAAUACCGCAUACGACCUACGGGUGAAAGCAGGGGAUCUUCGGACCUUGCGCGAUUGAGUGAGCCGAUGUCGGAUUAGCUAGUUGGCGGGGUAAAGGCCCACCAAGGCGACGAUCCGUAGCUGGUCUGAGAGGAUGAUCAGCCACACUGGAACUGAGACACGGUCCAGACUCCUACGGGAGGCAGCAGUGGGGAAUAUUGGACAAUGGGCGCAAGCCUGAUCCAGCCAUACCGCGUGGGUGAAGAAGGCCUUCGGGUUGUAAAGCCCUUUUGUUGGGAAAGAAAAGCAGCAGGUUAAUACCCCGCUGUUCUGACGGUACCCAAAGAAUAAGCACCGGCUAACUUCGUG
rnacentral:rRNA from 1 species